GAUGAACGCUGGCGGCGUGCCUAAUACAUGCCAGUCGAGCGAACAGACGAGGAGCUUGCUCCUCUGACGUUAGCGGCGGACGGGUGAGUAACACGUGGAUAACCUACCUAUAAGACUGGGAUAACUUCGGGAAACCGGAGCUAAUACCGGAUAAUAUAUUGAACCGCAUGGUUCAUUAGUGAAAGACGGUUUUGCUGUCACUUAUAGAUGGAUCCGCGCCGCAUUAGCUAGUUGGUAAGGUAACGGCUUACCAAGGCAACGAUGCGUAGCCGAACGUGGAGGGUGAUAGGCCACACUGGAACUGAGCCACGGUCCAGACUCCUACGGGAGGCAGCAGUAGGGAAUCUUCCGCAAUGGGCGAAAGCCUGACGGAGCAACGCCGCGUGAGUGAUGAAGGUCUUCGGAUCGUAAAACUCUGUUAUUAGGGAAGAACAAAUGUGUAAGUAACUAUGCACGUCUUGACGGUACCUAAUCAGAAAGCCACGGCUAACUACGUG
rnacentral:rRNA from 1 species